AGCAUGUGGUUUAAUUCGAAGCAACGACGAAGAACCUUACCUAGACUUGACAUCUCCUGAAUUUACCCGGUAACUGGGGAAGCUCUUCGGAGCAGGAAGACAGGUGGUGCAUGGUUGUCGUCAGCUCGUGUCGUGAGAUGUUGGGUUAAGUCCCGCAACGAGCGCAACCCUUAUCGUUAGUUGCUACCAUUAAGUUGAGCACUCUAGCGAGACUGCCCGGGUUAACCGGGAGGAAGGUGGGGAUGACGUCAAAUCAUCAUGCCCCUUAUGUCUAGGGCUACACACGUGCUACAAUGGUGAGGACAAAGAGACGCAAGACCGCGAGGUGGAGCAAAUCUCACAAACCUCAUCCCAGUUCGGAUUGCAGGCUGAAACUCGCCUGCAUGAAGCCGGAGUUGCUAGUGAUCGCGAAUCAGCAUGUCGCGGUGAAUACGUUCCCGGGCCUU
rnacentral:rRNA from 1 species